rnacentral:rRNA from 1 species
UACAGGGGGAGCAAGCGUUGUUCGGAUUUACUGGGCGUAAAGGGCGCGUAGGCGGCGCGGAAAGUAGGGUGUGAAAGCCCUCGGCUCAACCGAGGAAUUGCGCUCUAAACUGCCGUGCUUGAGGAACCUAGAGGUGAGCAGAACUGAUGGUGGAGCGGUGAAAUGCGUUGAUAUCAUCAGGAAUACCGGAGGCGAAGGCGGCUCACUGGGGGUUUUCUGACGCUGAGGAACGAAAGCCAGGGGAGCGAACGGG